rnacentral:tRNA from 1 species
GCCUGGGUGGCUCAGUGGUUGAGCAUCUGGCUUUGGUUCAGGUCGUGAUCUCGGGGUCCUGGGAUUGAGUCCCACAUCAGGCU